UCUUCAAUAGUAUAGUGGUCAGUAUUUCUGCUUGUCAUUCCUCUAGAAACAGCUCGCAGGAGGCCAGGGUUCGAUUCCCUGUUGGAGAG